GCAGCCGCGGUAAUUCCAGCUCCAAUAGCGUAUAUUAACGUUGUUGCAGUUAAAAAGCUCGUAGUUGAAGUGUGGGUGAUCGCUGUUGUGAGACUUCGGUCUCUCGACAGUAAGUCACCCCCUUCCAGUAUCCAGUAGUGGGUAUUCAGUUACUUACUACUGUGUGUUGGUCCUUUACUGUGAGAAAAUUAGAGUGUUCAAAGCAGGCGUUUGCUUGAAUAGAUUAGCAUGGAAUAAUAAUUGAAGGCUUUCGUGUUCGAUUUGAUUGGUUUGUUCAUGGAAGCAAGGUUAAAAGGAACAGUUGGGGGUAUUCAUAU
rnacentral:rRNA from 1 species